AUACGGAGGACGCGAGCGUUAUCCGGAUUCAUUGGGUUUAAAGGGUGCGCAGGCGGCCGUGCAAGUCAGCGGUGAAAGCCCGGGGCUCAACCCCGGAAGUGCCGUUGAUACUGCAUGGCUGGAAUGCGGUCGAGGCGGGCGGGACGUGGCGUGUAGCGGUGAGAUGCGUAGAUAUGCCGCAGAACGCCGAUAGCGGAGGCAGCUCGCCAGGCCUGCAUUGACGCUCGGGCACGAAAGCGUGGGGAUCGAACAGGAUUAGAUACCCUGGUAGUCCACGCCGUAAACGAUGGGCGCUCGUCGUCGGCGGCAGACAGUCGGCGGCCAAGCGAAAGCGAUAAGCGCCCCACCUGGGGAGUACAGUCGCAAGGCUGAAACUCAAAUGAAUUGGCGGGG
rnacentral:rRNA from 1 species